CAGGCAGGAUCCUGAAAGGAAAGCCAACCUGAAACCUGCAUGGAAAGCAGAGCCAGAGGGAAAAAGCAUCUUUCACUGCAGAAAAGCCUGUCCUUCAUUUAGGGAUGCCAGCAGCUGUCAGAAGAGGAAAGCUGAAGAUUGACAGAGGAAAGACACAGCAGCAGGGCUCCCAGAACAUUGUACAAAAAAGAUAAUCUUAAGAUGUUGACCUCUUAGAGAAGUGUGUACAAUCAAAGAAAAAAAAACAGCAAUAAAAUGUUCUGGUUAUUCCCUAAAUGGAAGAACUGUGUGUGCUGCAAGACCCUGCUGUUCAGCUGUUACUGAAACAUCGUCUUCAAAAACACCAAAUGGGGAAAUGUUGAUUUGUUUUGAUCUCAGGGGAAAUAAUGUAACUCAGAGACAAGCCCACCAGCAGCAACUCUUAAUACACAGCACGACAACACACAGAGAAAUCACCUUGCUCUUGGGCUGCAUACAUGUAUUUAAUUGCAUUUAAUUCUUGAGUGCUGGUGGAACUCAAUCAUAAAUAAUUGGGAGUUUUGGUUCACUGGCUGAACCAGAGGAGACUGGAGGGAAAAAAAAGUCCCUAUAAGCCAUUUGGUUUCAUUUUCAGGUUCAUUAAUCCUCUUUGUUAGGUGGCUUUUUAAGAGGAAUUGUGUGGGUUUUAUUCUGAAAUGGCCAAAAAGGUGGUCGCCCCUCUUCCCCCCAAGCAGGGGCUGGUGGCAGCACCAUCCACCACAUUCUGGUGGUGCUAUGGCAGGACCAUCACACUCAAAGCACUUGCCAUCCAGUGGCUUCCCAAACCAGCAGGAGAGAAGAGGGGAGCAGAGAGGGGACGACGGGUCAACAGGAUCUGGGACCAUAGGGCAGCUUGCUGCAAAAUGAGACUAAUCUUGUUCUAAGGUACAAGGAAACUGUAACAAAUAACAUUAACAGAAGAACUCCGUGGUGCAAGAACAAGAUAACCAACACAAGAAUAAAAAUAUGAACAAGAAAGACAUUGAGGAUGUGCUAGAACAGGUUUAGAGAAGGGCAACAAAGCUGGUGAAGGGUCUGGAGCACAAAUCUUGUGAGGAGAAGCUGAAGGAGGUGAGGGUGUUCAGCCCCUGGAGAAAAGGAUGCCCAGGGGAGAACUUAUCACUCUACAACUGCCUGAAAAUGAAUCUGCCUCUUCUCCCAGGUAACAAGUUAUAGAACAAGAGGAAAUGGCCCCACAUUGUACCAGGGGAGGGUAAGAUUGGGUAUUAGGAAACAUUUCUUCACCAAAAGGGUUUCUAAGCAUGGAACACACUUCCCAGGGGAGCGGUGGAGUCACCAUCCCAGGAGGGAUUUAAAAGACACAGAGAUGUGGAGCUUGGGAACACCAUUUAGUGGUGGGCUUGGCCAUAUUAGGUUAUUAGGCCUUUAUGAUUGUACAGGUCUUUUCCAACCUAAAUGAUUCAUGAUUCUGUGACUAAAACAUGCCUUGAUUUUAAUUAACAGGUUUUUUCAAGUUGUGCAAAAAAAUUUAAAAAUACGUCUUUGAU